CUUAUUUUGCGGUCAAGACAGUUGCUCGACGACAACAGGAUCCAAAUCGAAUAGAGAUUUGGUUGGUCUAUGCUCAAGUAUAAGAAUCUUUUUCUGAGGCUGGGGUUGAUUGACGAUUCAAGCUUCCAUAAAAAAGAGCUCACCAUUCCCUCUAGAUUGACAUAGGCACUUCAUCUUAGGAAGUAAAAGGUUCCAUUCUCAACAAAGGUUUUGGAGUGAGGGAGGUUUCAUCACUGGCUCAGGAACAGAUGGAGAUGAAUACAGUGGUUGCAGAAAAUGCAGACCACAUACAUCCUACACAUGAUACAGCUGUGGAGGCUCUUUCCUCUCUCAUUACUACCAAAAGGCGAUGGGAUGUGCGAACAAUCAGUAAUAAAUAGAGAGGAUGGAAAUGUAUGUAAAGGUAACACUUUGUACAUUUUUUAUUCGUUUUUCAAAUUUGGUUUCAAAUUGUCCAUUAGCCUUCAACUCUUUUUGAUGUAUUGAAAUUGAGUGAAGGAUGAUAUGUCAUCUUUCUUGUAAUAUUUGGAUCUAAAAAUUAGUA